CACACGAGGUGCGGAGGGUGGUCACACGGGCUCCGGUCCAGACCAUCCGUCCUGGCAUGGCUUGAGGAGCGGUGCGAGGUCCACACUCAGGAUGUGAACCUUUUUUCAAUUCUCCUGUGCAUCUCCCUGGCUUGGGCGGCUCCUUGUGACUGUGCCCGAGGCCUCUGUCACAGGCCUGCCAUCACCUGAGAUGGGACAGCCCCCCCUUGAGGAAAGCUGGGGUUAUAAGGAGGCUCGCUCCUGAUUAUUUUCACCUGGAUCAAGUGCCUAAAAUCAGGGGUUCAGGUGAGUGGAUGGCAGGUAAGCCUGUGGAUCAGGGUUCGUGAUGAGAACAGGUGGGGUCGGGGAGAAGGCCCACUGGUCUCCUCUCGGCUCUGAACCUCGCUGUGGGCGGGGAUGACCAGGGUUGGCAGAGGGUUGGGUGGCCAGUGUCUUGAAGGUCCCCGUAAGCUCUAAACACCAUGGCUCCAAAGUGGAGGUGCACACAGAGGGGCAUUUAAAAUUCUGUGUGUGCAGAAAAACAGAUAGGCGUGUGCACAUACACAUGAAGCACACAGCGGGAUGGGUUCUCACAAAGGGACCCUGCAAACGCUUCUGCUUUGAUACCUAAAACUUUUCUAUCUAAG
rnacentral:lncRNA from 1 species